rnacentral:pre_miRNA from 1 species
AUUCGGGGUUGGGGCCGCCAAUCGGCGACUCCGACCCCUCCGCCGAGGAUUCUGGUACCCAUGGAGGACGCGGGCGAUCUCGGUGGAGGGGUCGGGGUCGCCGAUUGGCUGCCCCAACCACGAAU